rnacentral:rRNA from 1 species
ACUAGGAUUAGAUACCCUAUUAGAAUUAAUAAACAUUUAGUAGUAAGUGAAAAACAUGAAACUAAAAUUAAUUGGCGGUUUCUUAAAUAUUUUAGAGGAAUUUAUCCUUUAAAGGAUUCUACACCUAAAUCUUACUUUAAUUAGUAUAAAUUUAACAAUUUGUAUACCCCUAUUUAGUUAUAAUUAAAUAAAUAAUUAUAAUUUCUUUAAAAAUAAUUUUAGGCCACGGUGCAGUUUAUAUUAAAGAUUGAGAUAAAUUAUAUGAAUUUAAAUUUAACAAAAAUAAAUUUUGUAAAAUUUUACUUAAGUAAAAUUUAAUAGUAAACUUAGUUUAUUCAAACUAAAUUGAAUAUAUUUUUUAAGAUAUGUACAAAUUGCCCGUCACUCUCUUUUAGAGAUAAGUCGUAACAUAGUAA